GACGAACGCUGGCGGCGUGCUUAACACAUGCAAGUCGAACGAAGAGCGAUGGAAGCUUGCUUCUAUCAAUCUUAGUGGCGAACGGGUGAGUAACGCGUAAUCAACCUGCCCCUUCAGAGGGGGACAACAGUUGGAAACGACUGCUAAUACCGCAUACGAUCUGACCUCGGCAUCGAGGAUAGAUGAAAGGUGGCCUCUAUUUAUAAGCUAUCACUGAAGGAGGGGAUUGCGUCUGAUUAGCUAGUUGGAGGGGUAACGGCCCACCAAACCGACGAUGGAUAGGGGUUCUGAGAGGAAGGUCCCCCACAUUGGUACUGAGACACGGACCCAAAACUCCUACGGGAGCAGCAGUGAGGAAUAUUGGUCAAUGGCCGAGAGGCUGAACCAGCCAAGUCGCGUGAAGG
rnacentral:rRNA from 1 species